ensembl:misc_RNA Metazoa_SRP Metazoan signal recognition particle RNA
GCUGGGCGUGGUGACACACGCCUGUAAUCCCAGCUACUCAGGAGGCUGAGGUGGGAGAAUCACUUGAACCCAGGAAGCGGAGUUUGCAGUGAGCUGAGUUUUCGCCACUGCACUCCAGCCUGAGUGACAGAGUGAGACUCCAUCUCAA